UACGUAGGGUGCAAGCGUUAUUCGGAAUUACUGGGCGUAAAGCGUGCGCAGGCGGUUUUGUAAGUCUGUCGUGAAAUCCCCGGGCUCAACCUGGGAAUGGCGAUGGAGACUGCAAGGCUAGAGUUUGGCAGAGGGGGGUAGAAUUCCACGUGUAGCAGUGAAAUGCGUAGAUAUGUGGAGGAACACCGAUGGCGAAGGCAGCCCCCUGGGUCAAAACUGACGCUCAUGCACGAAAGCGUGGGGAGCAAACAGG
rnacentral:rRNA from 1 species